UACAGAGGUGGCAAGCGUUGUUCGGAAUUACUGGGCGUAAAGGGCGCGUAGGCGGCCUUCUAAGUCAGACGUGAAAUCCCCCGGCUUAACCUGGGAACUGCGUCUGAUACUGGAAGGCUUGAGUGCGGGAGAGGGAUGUGGAAUUCCAGGUGUAGCGGUGAAAUGCGUAGAUAUCUGGAGGAACACCGGUGGCGAAGGCGGCAUCCUGGACCGACACUGACGCUGAGGCGCGAAAGCGUGGGGAGCGAACAGG
rnacentral:rRNA from 1 species